rnacentral:rRNA from 1 species
UUUAUUUAUUUUAAAAUAAUAAAAGUUUAACUUUGGCUUUUAAGGUAAAAAUAGUAAUUUUACAUGUUUAUAUUAGUGAUUUUUUUUAAGAUAAAUUAUUUAAUUUUAUAAGUUAAUAAUAUUAGUUAGUAUAAAAUUACCCCUAGUUAUCUAUUUUAGUUAGUAAAAUUAGUGCCAGCAGCUGCGGUUAUACUAUUUACAAUAUACCUUUUUAAAGAAAGGUUUUAUGUAAAGAUAAUAAAAUUUCACAGGUGAAAUUUUAUUUUUUAAUUUAUCAGUUUUAAACAUAUAAUUUUUAUAAACUAGGAUUAGAUACCCUAUUAUUAAGUUUAUUACUUAAAAGAUUAGAGUUAAAAUUAAUAAGUUUGGCGGCUAUUUUUAUUAGAGGAACUUGUUUAGUGAUAGAUAAACCUCGUUUUUUCUUUCUGUUUAUAUUUUUGUAUACCGUUAUUUAAAAAAUUUUUAAUAAAUAUUUUUAACAUAAUUUUUAGUAACUUAAAUCAAGGUGCAGAUAUUAAAUAGUUUAAAUUAGUUACAAUAAAUAUGUUUUUGGUAAAUAUUUUAUUAAAAAUAAAUAAACUUAUUGGAUUUAAUAGUAAUAUAAAUAAAUAUAAAUAUUUUGAUAGUGUACAAAUCGCCCGUCACUCUCUUUGAGAUAAGUCGAAACAAAGUAGAUACACCUGAAGGUGUAUCU